AAUGGACCUGGAGGAAGUAGUGGAGAUGAAGUUCUCAAGUGUUUGAAGAUAAGAAGUAAAAGAGGCAGGAGGAGAAUUACGGGAAAGGAAAGAUUGUUUCCUUCAGCUGACACGGUUAGAGCCAUGAUUCUGAAAACUAGAGAUGAUUUUUAAUUUGCAUGUAGAAUUAGUUUGAUUAAUUAGCAAUUUAUAGGUGAUAUGGGAAUGCAUUUUUUAAAUUACAGAAAGUAGAAUUUGUCAAUUAUGUAUAAAAAAUCCAACCAAAACCUCUUUGAUGGAACUAGUUGUUCGCUUUGAAUCAUUACUUUGAAU
rnacentral:misc_RNA from 1 species